rnacentral:rRNA from 1 species
AGUUGGUGAGGUAAUGGCUCACCAAGGCGACGAUCAGUAGCUGGUCUGAGAGGAUGACCACCCACAUUGGGACUGAGACACGGCCCAAACUCCUACGGGAGGCAGCAGUGGGGAAUCCUGCCCAAUGGGCGAAAGCCUGACGCAGCCAUGCCGCGUGAAUGAUGAAGGUCUUAGGAUUGUAAAAUUCUUUCACCGGGGACGAUAAUGACGGUACCCGGAGAAGAAGCCCCGGCUAACUUCGUGCCAGCAGCCGCGGUAAUACGAAGGGGGCUAGCGUUGCUCGGAAUUACUGGGCGUAAAGGGCGCGUAGGCGGACAUUUAAGUCAGGGGUGAAAUCCCAGAGCUCAACUCUGGAACUGCCUUUGAUACUGGGUGUCUUGAGUGUGAGAGAGGUAUGUGGAACUCCGAGUGUAGAGGUGAAAUUCGUAGAUAUUCGGAAGAACACCAGUGGCGAAGGCGACAUACCUGGCU